rnacentral:rRNA from 1 species
AUUGAACGCUAGCGGGAUGCCUUACACAUGCAAGUCGAACGGAGUGGCGAACGGGUGCGUUAUGUCUCGGCCCGUGCCCCGUAGCGGGGGAUAACUACCCGUACGCGUCCCUACUACCGCCUCCUUUUGGAGCCGCCGAUCUCGGAUUGGCUAGUGGGUGGGGUAACGGCUCACCAAGGCGACGAUCCGUAGCUGGUUUGAGAGGACGACCAGCCACACUGGGACUGAGAAACGGUCCAGACUCCUACGGGAGGCAGCAGUGGGGAAUUUUGGACAAUGGGGGAAAGCCUGAUCCAGCCAUCCCGCGUGUGCGAUGAAGGCCUUCGGGUUGUAAAGCACUUUUGGCAGGAAAGCGGUACCUGCAGAAGAAGCACCGGCUAACUACGUGCCAGCAGCCGCGGUAAUAA